AGAGUUUGAUCAUGGCUCAGAUUGAACGCUGGCGGCAUGCCUUACACAUGCAAGUCGAACGGCAGCGCGGGGCAACCUGGCGGCGAGUGGCGAACGGGUGAGUAAUAUAUCGGAACGUGCCCUGGAGUGGGGGAUAACGCAGCGAAAGUUGCGCUAAUACCGCAUACGAUCUAAGGAUGAAAGCAGGGGACCGCAAGGCCUUGUGCUCCUGGAGCGGCCGAUAUCUGAUUAGCUAGUUGGUGGGGUAAAGGCCUACCAAGGCAUCGAUCAGUAGCUGGUCUGAGAGGACGACCAGCCACACUGGAACUGAGACACGGUCCAGACUCCUACGGGAGGCAGCAGUGGGGAAUUUUGGACAAUGGGCGAAAGCCUGAUCCAGCAAUGCCGCGUGAGUGAAGAAGGCCUUCGGGUUGUAAAGCUCUUUUGUCAGGGAAGAAACGGUGUGGGCUAAUAUCCCGCACUAAUGACGGUACCUGAAGAAUAAGCACCGGCUAACUACGUGCCAGCAGCCGCGGUAAUACGUAGGGUGCAAGCGUUAAUCGGAAUUACUGGGCGUAAAGCGUGCGCAGGCGGUUUUGUAAGUUUGUCGUGAAAGCCCCGGGCUCAACCUGGGAAUUGCGAUGAAGACUGCAAGGCUUGAAUCUGGCAGAGGGGGGUAGAAUUCCACGUAGCAGUGAAAUGCGUAGAGAUGUGGAGGAACACCGAUGGCGAAGGCAGCCCCCUGGGUCAAGAUUGACGCUCAUGCACGAAAGCGUGGGGAGCAAACAGGAUUAGAUACCCCAGUAGUCC
rnacentral:rRNA from 1 species